rnacentral:snRNA from 1 species
GGAUGUGGCUGGGACAUCGGUAGCCCCAUUGAUCUCCGUGGUGAUUCUGCCCAUGUGGCCAGCUGGGUGGGUGCCCCUCUGCUCCAUGUGCAACCCUCCCAAAGCUGCAUACUCGAAGAGGAUGACCCCUCCAGAUAGAGGAGGAAAAUUUCCACCGUGGAGUGCAUAGGGUAGCUACGCUGCUCCCCUGCUAGAACCUUCAAACAAGCUCUCAAUUUGUGUAUUCACUAUUCAUGCUCAUCAGAGUAACUGAUUUUGUAAACCUAUAUUACUAAAACUACAACAAUAUCACCUCUGAUUUUUUUU